AGGAACUGGUCCUUCGAUUUUGCUUCUAAAUUGGAUCAACCAACACUUAGCCCAAAACUUGGACUACUAAUUUAGGCCCGAAAUCACUCAAACCCCACGCUCCUCUCCCUUUCCUUCGUCACUCUUCAUUCUCUCCUCUUCCAACGGUCCUUUUACAAUUUGGAAUUAGUCUCUGCAACGGCUCUUUCGGUUUGAAAUUUGAUAUCUCCGGCACCCUACAUAGCUUUAUUUAUUGUCCAUAUAUAUCAGCCAUUGAAAUUAGGGAUACUUAGCUCUGGAGAAAACUUUUCUCGUCCAAGUCUUUUUCGAGUUCUCUUUUGGCUGUUUCAGUUGUUCGUGGUGGAGGGUUUGUUAUCUUCGACUCGUCUAGUCUGUUUUGAGUUCUCUUUUGGCUGAUUGAGUUGCUCGUGGUUGAGGGUUUGUUGUCUUCGAUUCGUCGUCCCAAAACACUGAUCCUAAAAAGGUAUUAUUAUCUCAAUUUUUACUUUGCUUUACGUUGAAUUUGUGUAUUAGCAGUUUUUUUUCUAGAUUUUGCUGACUGUCUAUUUUUCAAUUCACAUUCAAUAUUUCUUUGUGUAUUCAUUGUUUAUAAUGUUUAAGCUUCAAGUAUGUUUAGAGAUUAUUGUAAGAAUUUAGCCUUUCUAAUUGAUAACACCUGCUUCAUCCUUUGUUACAACUCUUUACCUCUUUCUGUUCUAAUAUCUAAAAAUAUCUCUUUUAGCUGGAUGUUUGAUGUUUAUUUGACUCAUUAUCAAAAGCUGUUUGUUUUGAUGAGAAUCUAUUUCAAUUUAUUUAAGAUUCACAACUAUGUAAUUCCUAAAAAAUAUAAUUUUGUUUCGGUUUUAAGUUUAGAUUUCAGAUUGAAAUUUGACUCGAGUUCAUGGCUGUUUGAAAUCUUAUACUUGUCUAAGCUUUGGUUUAUCCACUCGUUCAUUCUAUCUUGCUAGCUUACUUCGAAAAAAAUCUGGAUAUGAUCUCGUGAUGUUGAAUCUAAGGCUAGAAAGUAGUUUUUCAUCGUUUAUAAGCAAUCUGGUCUGUUGUUUGAAUCAUGAAUUUAUUUGUCAAGCAUGAUUUAUUUUGCUUAACCAUCUAUGAUCACCAUUGUUUCAACCUAGAAUUUGGAGUGUUAUAUUAAUUUAUCAGCUCCUCUUUAAUUGAUUAGUGUACUUGCUAAAUGAAAUACAUAUACAAAUGACCAAUGUGUCCUGUUUUUGAUUGUUUCCCCUAAUGGCUCCGUCACGGCGUCACCUAGGUGUCUUGUCGAAAUAAUUUGAAAAGGUUGUUGUUUGGGUCUUGAUUUUAUUUUAUUUUUUUGUUUGUUCAUUUCCUACUGUGUUAAAAUUAAGUCGAUACAAGCGUAGGUUAUAUUUUCGAAGUUGUCUUCACCUAUGUUGCGUGGACUCUUCAUUUUUGCGGCCGAACCCGUCUCGACGCGACACUGGUGCGGGCGCGGGUGCGGGGUGCGUGUCGGAUUUGGUCAAUCCGAUCCGGAUACUUUGACCAAAGCCGAGAAAAAAAAUGGGGAAUAAGAGAUAAUUUCAUGGAUGGCGAAAGUUGACGACGACGAAGUUGUCACAAGGUCUGGCUGCUCCAUGGAAAAGAAUAAUGAAGAGNNNNNNNNNNNNNNNNNNNNNNNNNNNNNNNNNNNNNNNNNNNNNNNNNNNNNNNNNNNNNNNNNNNNNNNNNNNNNNNNNNNNNNNNNNNNNNNNNNNNNNNNNNNNNNNNNNNNNNNNNNNNNNNNNNNNNNNNNNNNNNUAAAAGAAGGUUAGGGUUUCUUGGGAGAAGAAAAGGCAUUCUUGGGAGAAGAAAGGGCAGCACGUCAGAACACGUCAGAACUUUAAUUAAUUGUACUACUAUCUAAUUUAAUAUGCUAUAUAUAUAGAUAUGGCAGCACGUCAGAACUUUAAUGAAUUGUACUACUAUCUNNNNNNNNNNNUGUACUACUAUCUAAUUUAAUAGGCUAUAUAUAUAUAUAAAUGAUUAUUUCUUUUUUAUAAUAAAUAAAAGGAAUUAUAAUUUUUUUAAAAUUAAUUAGUAACAAGUAAUUAAUUUAUACUUUUAAAUUUGUAUAUCUAUAAUUGAUAUCCUUUUAAGUAUAAGUAUAGCAUUUUACAAGAUAUUUAUUAUUAUUAUUAUUAUUAUUUAUAAUAUUGAAUAAUUUUAACGAAUCCCCGCACCCGUAUCCAUACUCGGAUUCGCACCCCCGAAUCUUAAAAUUUAAAUUUUGCCGAAUCCGACUCUCGGAUUUGCAUCCGUCUCGGAUACCCGCACCCGAGUCCGAGCAACUUAGGUCUUCACCCUAUCCGCCCCUUUCUUUUUUUACGUCUCCUCUCUUUGAUUCAAAUUUGCCUAUAAGGAAGAAGUUGCAAUGCAUGAUUGCCUAGUCUUGUGAUGUAUUAGCAUAUUUAUUUCCAUACACUGGCCUAUCUCUGCAUGUUUUUAUCUGUAUGAUAAGUUUUGUUUCCUCUUGGAUUGUGUCUUGUGGUAAAAUACUUACAUGUGCUAUCCAGCAUGUUUUUAGCAUAUGAGACAAUUCCCUGUACAUAUUCAUAAGAUGUUGAGAAAUUGAGACGUGCUUGUUUAUCUCUUUCCUUAUAUAAUUUUGAUGCCAAGAUUUUUAAAGACACUAUUUUCUCUUUUGCGAGAGUCAUCUGAUUCACUGUCUAAAAAAUAAGAAAGUCUUAGUCAUCUAUCUUGUAGUAUUCUAAUAUGCUAGUAUAGUAGUUUUGAACUUUGUCUGGCUACCUAUCCUUUAGGGUAUAGAUUUUUUUUUUUCUUCUUUGCUAUGAAUUCCCAUUUGCUACUGUUUUAACAAAUCCCUUGAAAGAAUGUUUUGUGUUCUCACUAUUUCGUUUACAUUUAACUAUUUUUACUACUUGUUUUGAAAUCUUUUGGAGAUAGAAAUUUCAUAAAGAGUCCUGAAUGUGUGCUGGUUUAAGUUAUUGUCAUCAGUCUUUUCGUUUGUGCUUCUCGUUUAAAUGAUUCCUUGCUGUAAAUAGUUCGUUUUAUCCUAUCCAGCGAUUGAUUAACUAAGGCUUGAACUAUGAUUAAAUAGGUCAUAGAAUAUGUAUGGUUUGUCUUAAAUCAAGUUCUUUCCUUUUAAAUGUUUGUCACAGUCUAAGAUUUUAGUCGACGUGUAACUAUGAUAUGUUUCUGCUAAAAGGCUAUAGUUAUAUGAAUUCUUGGAGAUUAUGGCCUUAAUGUUUCCUUCUACUGUUUCAUGAAACAUGUUGGGUGGCAUGAUUUUUUAUUUUUUUACUUUUGUUCAACCUUGGUAAAGCUCGUCCUGUUCUCUAUUUGAAUAUGCCUGACCACUAGCUUACAAGAAGUCAUCACUUUGUUCCAACCUUGGUAAAGCUCGUCCUGUUCUCUAUUUGUUCAUUUGUUUGCUAUUGUUAAGGUAUAACCUUUGGACGGGUAUACAUUUUGAGUUCUCUCCAGUCUCUCCUCUCCCAACGGUCCUUUCAGAAUUUGGAUCAUCUCUGCAACGGCUCUUUGGGUUUGGAACUUGAAAUCUCCCGCACCCUAAAAGGCUUUAUUUGUUAUUUAUGUAAUACUGUUGGAAAAACGCGGACUAACACAAAAAUAUAUAUGGUCAAAAUAAUAGAAAUAAAAUGGGAAAAUAAUGACACGAAGAAUUUUACGUGGAAACCCUUUUAAAUAAGGGUAGUCACUAUAGUAAGGAAUUUUACAUUGUGUAGUAACGAAUACAAUACUCAAAGUGACUACUACACACUCAAAAGGAAUGACACUCUUUUGAUUUCCACCUUACUAAAAUAUCGUUCACACUCUUUCUCUUCACAGAUUAUUUUUCUUAUAUAGUCUAUGGAAUAUCUCACUUUGCUCUCAAAUAUUUUUUUCUCUCUCUAACUUGGUGUAUUUGAAAUGAGCAAGGACAAAACACAUCGACGUUAGAUAUCAUUGGAUUCGUGAGGAAGUGGAGAGUGAAUCAUUUCACGUCAAAAAGAUCCACACAUGUGAAAAUCCUGCAGAUAUGCCGGCCAAGACAAUAUCGAAAGACAAGUUAGAGUUAUGCAAAGAACUUGUCUGUAUGAGCUCUCUCUAAAGAAAAUGAAGAUGUUUUCUUCUGUUGAAUGGGUUUGGAGGGGGAGAUUUGUAGGGUCCAUACCCAUUAUAGAUAAACAUAAGGAAAGAUGAAAUGCAGGAAAGGUUGAAAUGUUUGUUGCAACAGUUGUUGACUUUAACAAUAUAAGCAACAAACAUUUCAACCUUUGCUGCAUUUCAACUUUCCUUAUGUUUAUCUAUAAUGGGUAUGGACCGUACAAAUCUCCCCCCUCUAGACCCAUUCACCGGAAGAAGACCAUCUUCAUUUUCUUUAGAGAGAGCUCAUACUGACAAGUUCUUUGCAUAACUCUAACUUGUCUUUCGGUAUUGUCUUGGUUAGCAUAUUUGCAGGAUUUUCACUUGUGGAUUUUUUUGACGUGAUAUGAUUCACUCUCUACUUCCUCACGAAUCCAAUGAUAUCUGACGUUGAUGUGUUUUGUCCUUGCAUGGUACAUGGAGUUCUUGCUCAAGUCUAUUGCACUCUGACUAUCAUAAUAGACAACAUACUCUUAUCUGUUGCAAUCCAAGUUCUUGAAGAAAUCGCUUUAGCCAUAUCAUCUCUUUACCAGCUUCAGUAGCCGCAAUAUACUCAACUUCAGUUGUAGAUAGUGCAACACACUUCUGCAACUUUGACUGCCAUGAUAUAGCUCCCCUUGAAAAAAUAAACAAAUAUCCAGUUGUGGAUUUUGUGUUAUCAAGGUCACCUGUCAUAUCAGCAUUUGUAUAGUGCAACACACUUCUGCAACUUUGACUACCAUGAUAUGCUCUUUUCCCAGAUUGUUGAGAAAUCUGCGGACAACACCAACUGCAUGAGCAAUAUCAGGUCUAGUGCAUACCAUUGGAUACAUUAGACUUUCGACGUCGGAGGAAUAUGGAACUUUGGCCAUGCUCUCUUUUUCCUCCCUAGCUGUAGGACACAUCUUCUUGCUCAAUUUCAUAUGACCAGCAAGAGGUGUACCAUGCUUAGCAUUCUUCAUACUGAAGCGCUCUAGUACACGUUCAAUGUACUUCUUCUACGAGACCAGUAAUUCUCAUGCCCAAAAUUUGCUUUGCAUGACCCAAGUCUUUCAUAGCAAAAGACUUGCACAACUCUUUCUUUAAUUCAUCAAUCUUGGAAAUAUUCUUGCCCACAAUCAACAUACCAUCCACAUACAGCAAGAGGAUAAUAAAAUCAUCGUCAGAAUUUUUUUAUACAAAUACAUAAUGAUCUGAUGAAGUCUUCGUCUAGGAGCUUGCUUUAGGCCAUAGAGACUCUUUCUGAGUUUGCACAAAAUAAUUUUUUUACCUUCUAUUCUACUUUGAGAGUAGAAGCCCUCAGGUUGUUCUAUAUAAAUCUCUUAUUCUAGGUCACCGUGAAGGAAAGUCGUCUUCACAUCCAUAUGCUCAAUCUCUAAAUUAAGACUAGCAGCCAAACCUAGAACCGUACGAAUGGAGGACAUUUUCACGACAGGAGAAAAUAUUUCGUCAAAGUCAAUACUCUUCCUUUGACCAAAUCCCUUAACAACCAAUUUAGCUUUGUACCUGGGCUUCAAGUUAUGUUCUUCUACUUUAAUUUUGAACACCCAUUUGUUCUUCAAAGCUCUCAUGCCCUUGGGCAAUUUUACCAACUCAUAAGUGUGGUUCUCAUGCAGAGACUUCAUCUCAUCUUGCAUGACUUCAAUCUAUUGAUCCUUGUGCUCAUCUUCCAUGGCCUCCUCAUAACAUUCAGGUUCUCCCCCGUCAGUGAGUAACACAUACUCAUUGGGUGAAUAACGAGAGGAAGAAACUCGUUGUCUUGUGGACCUCCUAAGCGGGAUAUUUGAUUCGUCCACAACUUCAUGAGCAGAAGGAUCAUCAAUAACAUCAUUGUUAUUGUCAACAUCAACGUGUUGAUCCGAGGCAUGAUUAUGGGCGUCACCAUGAUCAUCAAGCCCAACAACAUCAUGCAUACUUGUGUGAGGAACUUCAUCAAGAUGAAUUAUGCCAUCAAAACCUGAAGAUUCUAGCUUCUUCGUUUUGUCAAUAUCUUCAAUUGUUUGAUUCUCCAUGAAAAUAAUAUCACGGCUUCUCACGAGUUUCUUCUCAAUUGGAUCAUAUAGCCUAUAACCAAAUUCAUCAAGGCCAUAUCCAAUGAAGAUGCACCGUCUUGUCUUGGCAUCUAACUUUGACCUCUCAUCUUUCGGCACAUGUACAAAAGCUUUGCAACCAAAUACUCUCAAAUUAUCAUAGGAAACAUCCUUUCCAUACCAAACUCUAUUUGGAACAUCACUUUGCAAAGCAACAGUAGGAGAUAGAUUAAUAACAUGUGCAGCGGUCAAUAAAGCCUUACCCCAAAAUGAUUUCGGCAACUUUGCUUCAGAAAGCAAACAUCUAACUCUUUCCAUCAAGGUCCUGUUCAUCCUCUCAGCCAAACAUUAAGCUGAGGAGUCUUAGGAGGAGUCUUCUAUGUCUAAUACCUUGAUGCUUGCAGUAUUCGUCAAAUGGUCCACAAUAUUCACCACCAUUAUCAAUACGAAUACAUUUCAGUUUCUUUCCUUUCCAGUUUCUCUUUCAACUGAAGCCUGAAACUGCUUGAAGACACCUAACACAAUAUUCACCACCAUUAUCAGUACAAAUACAUUUCAGUUUCUUUCCUUUCCAGUUUCUCUUUCAACUAAAGCCUGAAACUGCUUGAAGACACCUAACACUUGGUCUUUAGUCUUCAAGACAUAGACCCAAAGUUUUCUCGAGCAGUCAUCAAUAAAAGUGACAAAGUAGUGUGCACCACCAAAUGUCAUUUUCUUCAUUGGACCUCAUAAAUCAGAGUGCACCAACUCAAGCAACUAUGUCUUUCUCGAAGGAAGAUUAGACUUGAAGGAACCUCUAUUUUGUUUACCAGCCAAACAGUUCACACUUUUCUAAUUUUGCACUUUGGAAAUUUGACAAUAAUUUCUUCUUGGCUGGAACAUUAAGUCGUUUCACGCUGAUGUGGCUAAGCCUCUUGUGCAAUAACGUUGAAGAGUUAUCGCUCUCAACCGCAUUCACCAUAUCAACAUAAGUAGAAGUUGUAGUCCAGUAUAGACCACGACAUUUGUUGCCAUGAACCACAACCAAGGAACCCUUAAUAAGUGUAGCGACCCUAAAAAUGAAAUCGCGAAACUAGAGCCUCGUGUGUUGGUAUUUAGUUGGUAAUCUUGUAUAAAUGCUUAAAUAUGGUGUUAGAGGUCAGUUUGAUUGUGUUGGAGGUCAAACGUCAAGAGACGUCCGGAAACUAGUCUUUUGGUGCUAGUGUGUUCUAGUGUGUUGUCAUUGAUAUUGAUGUGUCGUUUUGAAGGUGAAAUCAUAAGGAGGUGGUUCCAAUGUGUAAUUGGACAUGUGUAGGGGGUAAACGUCCGGGUACGACUCCCCAAGGACCACCCUAAGGGUUCUUGAGGAGGACCUAAGUUCAACCCCCAAGGCUGCCCCAAAUGAAAUGAUUCGACCUACGGAUGGGGUUCACGCCCCGUAGGUCCAUCCACGGUUCGUGGAUGGCCUCCGUAACUCCAUUUGGCUCCCCCACAGUACCAAACCACGGAUGCACAACACGGGGCCGUUAAUCCAUCCACGGUCCGUAGAUGGUGGCCGUGGUUUGGCACCUGUGUUGCUGUCAUUUAAGUCGGCCAUGGUACCAAUUCACCCCAAGUCUUUUAAAGUGUGGGGUCGGUUGUUUUAACUUAUUUUUGGUAUUUUAAAAGGUAUUUUUGAAUUCAUUCUUCAAGUUAAAACUCCCAAAGACUUUCUCUCUCUAGAGUUUUCUCAAGUUCAAGGAAGAAGAAGGUGGAGAGCUAGGGUUUCAAAUUGAGGGUUUCCUUCCACCAAAUUUUGUUGGGAUUUCUUCAAGUGAGGUAUGGUGUCUCUUCAUCUAGGACUCAUCUUCAUCCUAGAGUCAAUUUCAAAGGAUUUUACAAUGUUUUCAAAAAGUGACUAAAAGCUUGUUUUUGAAUUCUAUCAAGGGCUCUUGUAUGAAAAUGAUUUGAAACGUUUGGGUAUGGAUUAAUUGAUGUGUUUGUGGUUUUUGAAUGAAAUACUCCAUGAACCCUUGUCUUUUACAAAACCCUAAAAUUUGCUAUGAAGUGCGUCUUUUUCUAUAAAUUCAAAGUUGAUGGAAUUAUGUGUAAAGUGAAUUGUAUUGAUAUCUCUUGGGUUGUUUAAUGUUUAUUCAUGAUUAAUUGUUGAUAAUUGGUGAAUUAAGGGUGGUAAGCCUUAUGAGUGAAGUAUUGGUGAUUGCUUUGGAUUUUGGUGAUUUUGGUUAUGGCUUUGGAUUAUGGUAAGAAAGCUUGAACUCUCUUUAUUGAAUUGAUUGUUGUUGGUAGGUUGAAUCCACCUUUGGUGGAAGUGUUAUAUCUUAUUCUUGUGUGGUAUUAUUGUGAAUUGUAGCCAUGAAGGCAUUGGUGAAGUUGUUGUAUAAUGUUGGAAUAUUGUAUUAUUGUGAAUUGAGGCCAUGAAGGGCAUUAUAUGAGUGUUACUAUAUUAUUAUAUUAUUAUACAUAUAUGAGGCUAUAUGUAAAGUCCUAUAUGAAGCUAUAUGUAAAGUUUGUGUGAAGCUAUAAUGUGAAGAUGUUCUAAUGGUAUUAAUGUGAUAUUGUAUAAAAGUGUUAUUAUGCUAUAAUGUGAAAGCGUGUUUCUCUUGAAAUGGUGAUAUGUGGUGAUGAUGGACUAUGAUGAGUCUUUAUAAGAUGAUGUUGUAGCUCAUACGCUAGACUUGAGUAUCUUGUCUUGUGUCAUGAAAGCUUGACUAUAUAUAUGAAUGUUUGGUUGGGCUAUGACUUAGUAAUGGAGAUCUUCCUAUGAAUGCUAAAAGAGGAAUUCUAGGCCAAGACUUGAAUGGUAGACUUAAGCAUAGUGCCUUUUUCAUGAGUCUAGCUUUCCUAAGUAAAUGUAUAACCUUGAAGGAUGGGCUUUAGGGUGAUGUUCCCAUCUUGACUGAAAUAAUAGACUUAGAGAUGGAUGGAGCCGGAACGGCAUGAGAAUCCUUAUCUAAGAAAGUCAAAUGAGCUAUCCUUAUGACCUAAAUUGGCUAUGACUAGAAAUGGGGACCUUUUCUUGGGAAGAGGUACUAUGAGUUAGUUGAACUAGAAAAGGAACCCUCUCUAGUACAUAUGUGAUUGAAUACUCUAUGGAAACCAAGGCUAAGCACCGAGUGGAUGUGGUUAGGAUGGUGGCCUAGUUGAGCAUGAGAUUAGGCACAAUGAACAUCCUUGGACAUCUCUUAUCUAAGAAAGUCAAAUGAGCUAUCUUUUAGUUUAACCCUUGGCAAGUAGAACAACCUCCACGGAGUAGGAUAGACUCCGGAUUCCAUACCUUGCUAGUGUGGUCUAUGUCGGUUAAGACCUAUUUCCAUCAUAUGGGAAUAGGUUCUACAACGUGUAGGUAGUAGUAUGGGAUGCUAUUUACACAUGGCACGAGUAGGCUUAGAAGAUGCUAAAGUGAGUUCCCUAAGCCUUAGGGCUAUUAUGUGAUUGUCCCAUAUAUGCUUGUGUGUGUCUCUUAAAUGGUUUUAUAAAGAAUGUUGACUCAGUAUGUUAUAAUGUAAUGAUAAAACCCUUGUCUAUGGUAACUCUUAGGAACACUUAGGUGUAUAUGAAGAGGUUUCAUGGGCGGUCACUUCAUUAUUCACUUAAGUGUGGCUUAGGGUGACUUGAGAUAGAGGCUUAAAUGGUAAUGAAGGACUUACUUUGCUACCUUGAUUAAGUAUGGUACACUUGUGUUAAUUGGGUUGUAAAUGAUGUGAAUAUGGUCUUAUUUGUGAAUGGUGACUUGAAAUGUGGGUUUAUGCUUGUGGUUGUAAAGGUUUGUUAAAGGUCUUAAAAGCAUACAUUCCUUGUAAAUGUCCGUUGUGCAUGUUUUCUUGCAUGGUCGUCAUACUUAGUACUUAUUGUACUAAUUCCAUAUUUCUCUAUUGUUACAAGUGUAGGUGGUGGAAAGUGAAGAGAUUUUUUGAGGAAGCUUGGGAUAUUGACUAUUUCUCAAGAAGUUUGGUAUGUCCUCAUAUAUUCGAGGACAUAGUUGAACCCUUUCUAGUAUUUCCACUGUGUAUAAGAUGGUACAUGAGACUUAGAAAUUCUACUUCUUUACAUUUGAAAGAUUUUGUAAUAAAAAGUGUUUUUAUUCCUUACGGUUUUUAUUACCGAAUGCAAUGAUUGAUUGCUAAGGGCUAGUAUUAGACCUCCAAGAGGUCGAGUACGCAUGUUACGACUUGGGGGUGCUCUCGGGUCAUGACAAUAAGUUUUCAUUUUCCAUCACCGUUGGUACUAACAUAUCCUUCAUCAUUCAAAAUCAGGUGCAGACGAACAUCAAGAGCAUGUUUCACAUUGUUCAAAACUAGUUUAGUUUCAACACUAGUUUCCAAACAAAUUGUACCAAUACCAUCCACCUUAAAAAGAGUCUCAUUACCCAUACUCAAGGUUCAAAAUCACCAAGAGUAUAGGAAGAGAAAAAAUCCUUCCUUGAUGUCACGUGAAAUGCGGCAUCAGUGUCCACAACCCAACUUGACCCAUCACAAGCAAUAUUUAUCAUAUCCGCAUCAAAGACGAUAACAAGAUCUUUGGUGGUGACAGUGGCUAGGCAAUUUUCACUGUCAUCUUCUUUAGUUUCCUCUUUGUUUAUGUUCUCCCUCUUCAAUUUCCUGCAAAACUUCUUUGUGUGCCCUUUCAUGCCACAAUGAUAGCACUCAAUAUCCUUAAGUCUUCCUCUGGAUUUGCUCCUAUUUUGUUCCCUAUUUUGAGAACCACGAGUUUUGUUUCUCCCCCUGGAGCCAAUUAUCAGGACAUCUGACGAAGAAGAACCUUGAGGUUUUCUUCUCAUUUCUUCGUUCAAGACACUACUCUUGGUGGAAUCCAUAGAGAUCACACCAUUCGGAGGAGAAUUUGACAAUUUAGUUCUAAACGUUUCCCAAGAGUCUGGUAGGGAACCAAGUAGAAGCAAACCUUGAAUUUCUUCAUCAAAUUUGAUGCCUGUAGUAGAUAAUUGAUUCAUGAUUCCCUGAAAAUUAUUCAGAUGGUCUGUCAUCGGAGAACCAUCAUGAUACUUUAAACUCAACAUCUGCUUUAUUAAAAAUAUUUUGUUGUUGCCAAUCUUCCAAGCAUACAAACUUUCAACAUGCUCUUAUAGAGUUCGAGCAUGUGUCUUCCCAGAAAUAUGGUUCAACACAUUAUCGUCAACCCAUUGCCUAAUGAAUCCACAAACCUGCAUGUGCAACAUAUUUCACUCUUCAUCUGUUUUAUUAUCAGGUUUUACAGUGGUAAACAUUGGUUUGUAAAAAUUCUUGACAUGAAGCAGAAAUUUCCCCUUCCAAAUGUCAUAAUUAACACCAUUCAAAGUAACUAUUCUACUUGUGUUAGCUUCCAUUGUUUAUCCCCCAAAAAUAUAGUUAUUGCAAACCAAAGUAGAUAUUUUCUGAUGUGGAAGUUCAGACUGUGCUGCAACCACAGAUACUCAGAUAAAACCUUGACUCUAAUACCAGUUUGUUGGGAAAAUGCGGACUAAGACAAAAAUAUAUAUGGUCAAAUUAAUAGAAAUAAAAUGGGAAAAUAAUGACAACAAGAAUUUUAACGUGGAAACCCUUUUAAAUAAGGGAAAAGCCACAGGCCAAGAGGAACAACUGAUAUCACUAUAGUAAAGAAUUUUACACUGUAUAGUCACGAAUACAAUACUCAAAGUGACUACUACAUACUCAAAAGGAAUAACACUCUUUUGAUUUUCACCUUACUAAAAUAUCGCUCACAUUCUAGUUUUCUUCACAUACUAUUUUUCUUAUAUAGUCUAUGGAAUACCUCACUUUGCUCUCAAAUAUCCUUUUUUUCUCUCUAACUUGGUGUGUUUGAAAUGAGCAAGGGCUCUCUAUUUAUACGAGAAAUCUACUCCUAAUGAUGUCACUCAUGACAAUAUAAAAAACACCAAAGUUUCAACCUUUGCAACUAUGCAGAUUUCUUGGUAAGAUUUUAGUUGAAAAAGAAAUGGUGAGCUUUGGUUUGUUGCAGCAUUUGCUGACUUUAACAAUAAGCAACAAACAUUUCAACCUUUCCUACAUUUCAACUUUCCUUAUGUUUAUCUAUAAUGGGUAUGGAUCCUAUAUAUACAUCAGCCAUUGAAAUUGGGAAUUCUUAGUUUUGGAGAAAACUUAUCUCGUUUAGUCUGUUUCAAGUUCCCUUUUGGCUGUUUGAGUUGCUCGUGGUGGAGGGUAUGUCUUCGAUUUAUUGUUUUGAUGGGGAAAAUGCAGAGGAUAAUUAUAAGGAUGACACAAGGAGUGUAAAACAUGUUUAUUUAAAUGUUCGUGACUUUGUGUGGGGCAAGACAUGUUUAUUCAGUUUGUGAUCGUAGUGGCCAGGUCCCAGAAAGCUGAUUCUAAAAGGGUAUUAUUAUCUCAAUUUUUAGUUUGCUAUACGUUGAAUUUGUGUAUUAGCAAAAAAAAAUUUCUAGAUUUUGCUUUGACUGUCUAGUUUUCAAUUCAUAUUCGAUAUUUCUUUGUAUUCAUUGUUUAUGAUGUUUAAGCCUUUAUGCUUGUAAUCUUAGGUAGAAUUGUUAAUAUUAAUCCUUAAUCAAUUUAGCUUCAUGUAUGCUUAGAGAUUUUUGUAAGUAUUUAGCGUUUCUCAUUGAUAAAAUGCUUCACUGCUGCACAAUAGCACCUGCUUUAUCCUUUGUUACAACUCUUUUCCUCUUCUGUUCUAAUAUCUAAAAAUAUCUCUUUUAGGUGGAAGUUUGAUGUUUACUUGACUCAUAAUCAAAAGUUGUUUGUUUUGAUGAGAAUCUAUUUCAAUUUAUUUAAGGUUCACAAUUAUGUAAUUCCUAAAAAAUAUAAUUUUAUUCCAGUUUAAGUUUAGAUUUCAGAUUGAAGUUUGUCUUGAGUUCAUGGCUGUUUUAAAUCUUAUACUUGUCUAUGCUUUGGUUUAUCCACUCAUUCAUUCUAUCUUGCUAGCUUACUUCGAAAAAAAUCUGGAUGUGAUCUCGAGAUGUUGAAUCUAAGGCUAGAAAGUAGUUGUUCAUCUAAGUAAUCUGGCCAGCUGUGCAUUAAGAGUAAAUUAGUGAUAUAUUUUAUCAGCUCCUCUUUAAUUGCUUUGCUUACUUGCUAAAAGAAAUGCAUAUACAAAUGAUAAUCUGUGCUGUUUUUGAUUGUUUCCCUUCCUUCUAAUGGCUCCGUCACUUAGGUGUCUUUAGGUAGUUGUUCAUCAGGAUAUAUUUUAAUAGCAUAUUUGUUUCCAUACAGUGGCCUAUCUCUGCAUGUUUUUAUCUGUAUGAUAAGUUUUGUUUCCUCUUGGAUUGUGUCUAGUGAUAGAAUACUUACCUGUGUCAUUCAGCAUGUUUUUAACAUAUGUGUCAAUUACCUGUACAUAUUAAUAAAAUGUUGAAAAAUUGAGACGUGCUUGUCUAUCGUCAGAUCUCCCUUACUGUAUAUAAUUUUGAUGCCAAGAUUUUUAAAGACACUAUUUUCUCUUUUGCGAGUGUCGUCUUAGUCAUCUAUCUUGUGAGUAUUCUAAUAUGCUAGUAUAGUAGCUUUAAACUUUGUCCGGCUACCUAUCGUUUUGGGUAUAGAUUUAUAAUUUUUUUCUAUUGCUAUGAAUUCUCAUUUGCUACUGUUUUAGCCAGUCCCUUUAAAUAAUGUUUUGUGUUCUCACCAUUCUGUUUGCAUUUGACUACUUAUUACUCGUUUUGAAAUCUGUUGGAGUUAGAAAUUUAUAAAGAGUCCUGAAUGUGUGCUGGUUUGAUCUACUGUCAUCAGUUUUACCUUUGUUUUUCUCGUUUAAAUGAUUCCUUGCCGAUUUCCAACAAAUAGUUUGUUUUAUCCUAUCCAGUGAUUGAUUAACUAAGGCUUGAACUAUGAUUAAAUAGUAUGGUUUGUCUUAAAUCAAGUUCUCUUUCCUUUUAAAUGUUUGUCACAGUCUAAGGUUUUAAUCGAGGUGUAACUAUGAUAUGUUUCCGCUAAAAGGGCUAUAGUUGUAUGAAUACUUGGAGAUUAUGGCCUUAAUGUUUCCUCCUACUGUCCUCUAUUUGAAUAUGCCUGACCACCAGCUUGCUUGAAGUCAUCACUUUGUUCUAACUUUACCUUGUUAAAGGGUUGAUUAAGUGUCAAUCAAUUGUUGUGAAAAUUGAAAUCUUUGUUCCUUUGUUUGCUACUGUUAAGGUAUAUAACCUUUAUUUAUUUUGAGUUCUUUUGUUUCUUAUUAAUGAUAGGUUUUCUUCAUUGUUUUCUUUUUCCUCUACUUGAGUUUGAUAUACUUGAACCGAUGGUCUUUCGGAAACGACCUCUCUAUCUUCAUGAGGUAGUGGUAUUAGUCUGCGUACACUUUACCCUCCCUCUUCAAACCCCACUUAGUGGGAUUUCACUGGAUAUGUUGUUGUUGUUGGUUUGCUAAGAAGGUGUUAAACUUACGAUAAUGUUCAUUAGUUAUUGAAUCAAUUUCAGAUUUACCUUAGCUUAGUCUUUCUUUAAACAUGCUUGGUUUAGGAUAAUUCAAGUUUGAUUAUUUCUCAUUUUCUGGGAUUAGCUCUUGGAUCAUUAUUUCAGUUUUGAAAAUUUGCUCAAAGUUUAAUCCAUCUUUACAAGUUAAUAUUAGGUUACUGGUGUUGCAUCAGUUAAUUUUCUUAAUUAGUUUGCAAAGUCUCCUUUUAAUCCUAUUGUACAUGAAUUUCUUCGAAUCGUAGACUCCUAUUCUCCCUUACAUUUUCAAAUUGGGCUCAAUCCCGAUUUCGUCUUCAAGUCAACCUCGUCAAAGUGAAAGGGAGGCUAGUAUUUUAAAUGGUCAAGACCUAAAUUCGCC
rnacentral:lncRNA from 1 species